rnacentral:lncRNA from 1 species
AUGCGGACCGCAGAUUGCUGGCGAUGCCCGGCACGUCUCCCGGCUCCCCCCGGCUCGAGACCCCGAGCGGGGUCGGGCUGGGGGCCGUGCCCUGGAUGCCCACCCGGCCCCUCGCCCCCGACCGGGCGCUGCCGCUGCCAACGCGGCCCCACGGCCGCGGCGCGGGGGGGUCGCCGCCGGCUGCACCGCGAGGAGCGGAGCUGGCCGCCGGCACGCACAGACCAUUACCGGUGGGGUCCCCGUGCCGGGGGAGCCGAAACGACACCGAAAUGCCCUCGGCGCUGUGCAUCUACCCCCCUGCGGAACGUUUCAGGAAGCGAAGCGGAGCCGGCGCGUUCAGACGCGCGCUCACACUCCCGAUCCACAGCGCCCCGGCGGCUCCGCCAGCCGCAUCCCGGCCCCGGGCGGCGGAUGCCGGGCCCGCGGUGCCCGGCGGCGGUGGUGGGGGGGGGGGGGGAGGGGGGGAGGGUGAUGCCGGUGCGGCUGCAUCGGGGCCGCGCAGCGCACGGCGACCGGGGGGCGGCCCCGGGAGGCAGCGCUGCCGCCGCGCCGCAGCCCCGCAUCCGCUGCCCUCAAGGUCACGACGCGCCCCGGCUGGAGGUGCGCGCUCCGGUUACCGGCUGCGGAGGGAGGCUGGCGGGGAAGGAGGCUCGGAGGCGGCCCGCAGCCCCCCGCGGCGGAGCGGCCCCGCCGAGCGCCUGCACCUGCCGCCGCCGCGCCUGUGCGGAGCGGAGCGGAGCGGAGCGGGGCGGGAGGGAAGGAGCGGGGCGGAGGCGCGGCGACCCCCGCCGCCACCGCGCUUACCUCGGCGCCGCGGGGCCGCCCCCGCCGGCCGGGACGAGGCGAGGAGCCCGUGAACCUGCUGCUGCCGGCAGUGGUGGUGGUGGUGGUGCCGCUGCUGCCGGUGCCGCCGCCGCCGCCCGCCGAGCGCACAAGGUCCCCGCGCUCCCCGCCCUGCCCGCGGCCGCCCCCGCCCUGCGGCCGCGGGGGGAGGGGAAGGGGGCGGGGGGAGCGCGGAGCGGGGAACCGAGCCGCGGCGGGGAGGGGGCGCCGGGGGAGGCGGGGGCGGAGGAAGGGGAAGGGGAAGGAAGGGGAGGGGGGGGCGCGCACCGCCCGCCCCGCCCCCGUCGCCUGCUCACCGGCAGGAGCCGCGGGUCGCCUCCCGCUCUCCUCUCUCUCCUCGCUCUCUCUGUCCCCGGCCGCCCGCCUCCUGCCGCACGCCCCGGGCAGCGCCGCGGAGAGCCCCAGCCCCGCGCGGCGACCGUUACGGGAGCCGGGCGCCGCCGG